GGGUUGUGAGGUUAAGCGACUAAGCGUACACGGUGGAUGCCUAGGCAGUCAGAGGCGAUGAAGGGCGUGCUAAUCUGCGAAAAGCGUCGGUAAGGUGAUAUGAACCGUUACAACCGACGAUACCCGAAUGGGGAAACCCAGUGCAAUUCGUUGCACUAUUGCAUGGUGAAUACAUAGCCAUGCAAGGCGAACCGGGGGAACUGAAACAUCUAAGUACCCCGAGGAAAAGAAAUCAACCGAGAUUCCCCCAGUAGCGGCGAGCGAACGGGGAGGAGCCCAGAACCUGAAUCAGCAUAUGUGUUAGUGGAAGCGUCUGGAAAGUCGCACGGUACAGGGUGAUAGUCCCGUACACAAAAAUGCAUAUGUUGUGAGUUCGAUGAGUAGGGCGGGACACGUGACAUCCUGUCUGAAUAUGGGGGGACCAUCCUCCAAGGCUAAAUACUCCUGACUGACCGAUAGUGAACCAGUACCGUGAGGGAAAGGCGAAAAGAACCCCGGCGAGGGGAGUGAAAUAGAACCUGAAACCGUGUACGUACAAGCAGUGGGAGCACCUUCGUGGUGUGACUGCGUACCUUUUGUAUAAUGGGUCAGCGACUUAUAUUUUGUAGCAAGGUUAACCGAAUAGGGGAGCCGUAGGGAAACCGAGUCUUAACUGGGCGAAUAGUUGCAAGGUAUAGACCCGAAACCCGGUGAUCUAGCCAUGGGCAGGUUGAAGGUUGGGUAACACUAACUGGAGGACCGAACCGACUAAUGUUGAAAAAUUAGCGGAUGACUUGUGGCUGGGGGUGAAAGGCCAAUCAAACCGGGAGAUAGCUGGUUCUCCCCGAAAGCUAUUUAGGUAGCGCCUCGUGAACUCAUCUUCGGGGGUAGAGCACUGUUUCGGCUAGGGGGUCAUCCCGACUUACCAAACCGAUGCAAACUCCGAAUACCGAAGAAUGUUAUCACGGGAGACACACGGCGGGUGCUAACGUCCGUCGUGAAGAGGGAAACAACCCAGACCGCCAGCUAAGGUCCCAAAGUCAUGGUUAAGUGGGAAACGAUGUGGGAAGGCAUAGACAGCCAGGAUGUUGGCUUAGAAGCAGCCAUCAUUUAAAGAAAGCGUAAUAGCUCACUGGUCGAGUCGGCCUGCGCGGAAGAUGUAACGGGGCUAAACCAUGCACCGAAGCUGCGGCAGCGACACUUAGGUGUUGUUGGGUAGGGGAGCGUUCUGUAAGCCGUUGAAGGUGACCUGUGAGGGUUGCUGGAGGUAUCAGAAGUGCGAAUGCUGACAUAAGUAACGAUAAUGCGGGUGAAAAACCCGCACGCCGGAAGACCAAGGGUUCCUGUCCAACGUUAAUCGGGGCAGGGUGAGUCGACCCCUAAGGCGAGGCUGAAAAGCGUAGUCGAUGGGAAACAGGUUAAUAUUCCUGUACUUGGUGUUACUGCGAAGGGGGGACGGAGAAGGCUAGGCUAGCCGGGCGACGGUUGUCCCGGUUUAAGCAUGUAGGCGGAGUGACUUGGUAAAUCCGGUUGCUUAUCAACGCUGAGGUGUGAUGACGAGCCACUACGGUGGUGAAGUAGUUGAUGCCAAGCUUCCAGGAAAAGCCUCUAAGCAUCAGGUAACAUUAAAUCGUACCCCAAACCGACACAGGUGGUCAGGUAGAGAAUACUCAGGCGCUUGAGAGAACUCGGGUGAAGGAACUAGGCAAAAUGGUGCCGUAACUUCGGGAGAAGGCACGCUGGCAUUAGGUAAAGAGACUUGCUCUCGGCGCCGAAGCCAGUCGCAGAUACCAGCUGGCUGCAACUGUUUAAUAAAAACACAGCACUGUGCAAACACGAAAGUGGACGUAUACGGUGUGACGCCUGCCCGGUGCUGGAAGGUUAAUUGAUGGGGUCAGCCGCAAGGCGAAGCUCUUGAUCGAAGCCCCAGUAAACGGCGGCCGUAACUAUAACGGUCCUAAGGUAGCGAAAUUCCUUGUCGGGUAAGUUCCGACCUGCACGAAUGGCGUAAUGAUGGCCAGGCUGUCUCCACCCGAGACUCAGUGAAAUUGAACUCGCUGUGAAGAUGCAGUGUACCCGCGGCAAGACGGAAAGACCCCGUGAACCUUUACUAUAGCUUGACACUGAACAUUGAGCCUUGAUGUGUAGGAUAGGUGGGAGGCAUUGAAGUGUGGACGCCAGUCUGCAUGGAGCCAACCUUGAAAUACCACCCUUUAAUGUUUGAUGUUCUAACUCGGCCCCGUGAUCCGGGGUGAGGACAGUGUCUGGUGGGUAGUUUGACUGGGGCGGUCUCCUCCCAAAGAGUAACGGAGGAGCACGAAGGUUAGCUAAUCACGGUCGGACAUCGUGAGGUUAGUGCAAAGGCAUAAGCUAGCUUGACUGCGAGAGUGACGGCUCGAGCAGGUACGAAAGUAGGUCUUAGUGAUCCGGUGGUUCUGAAUGGAAGGGCCAUCGCUCAACGGAUAAAAGGUACUCCGGGGAUAACAGGCUGAUACCGCCCAAGAGUUCAUAUCGACGGCGGUGUUUGGCACCUCGAUGUCGGCUCAUCACAUCCUGGGGCUGAAGUAGGUCCCAAGGGUAUGGCUGUUCGCCAUUUAAAGUGGUACGCGAGCUGGGUUUAGAACGUCGUGAGACAGUUCGGUCCCUAUCUGCCGUGGGCGUUGGAAGAUUGAGAGGGGCUGCUCCUAGUACGAGAGGACCGGAGUGGACGAAUCACUGGUGUUCGGGUUGUCAUGCCAAUGGCAUUGCCCGGUAGCUAAAUUCGGAAGAGAUAACCGCUGAAAGCAUCUAAGCGGGAAACUUGCCUCGAGAUGAGUCUUCCCUGGGGCUUUAAGCCCCCUGAAGGAACGUUAAAGACUAUGACGUUGAUAGGCUGGGUGUGUAAGUGCAGCGAUGCAUUGAGCUAACCAGUACUAAUGAUCCGUGAGGCUUAACCUUACAACACCGAAGGUGUUU
rnacentral:rRNA from 1 species